rnacentral:rRNA from 1 species
GAUUAACGCUGGCGGCGUGCCUAACACAUGCAAGUCGAGCGGCAGCGAGUUUUACACUGAAUUCUGGAAGCUUCUAGUUGAAAGAGAAGAUUUAUUCAAGAAUUUUGUGUAAAAUGUCGGCGAGCGGCGGACGGCGGAGUAACGCGUGGGAACGUACCCCAAAGUGAGGGAUAACGCAUCGAAAGGUGUGCUAAUACCGCAUAUGGGCGUCGGAUUAAAGCCUUCGGGCGCUUUGGGAACGGCCUGCGUAAGAUUAGAUAGUUGGUGGGGUAAUGGCCUACCAAGUCGACGUACUUUAACUGGUAUGGGGGGCUGAUCCGUCAGACUUGAACUGCGACACGGUCCAGACUCCUACGGGAGGCAGCAGUGAGGAAUCUUCCACAAUGGGCGAAAGCCUGAUGGAGCAACGCCGCGUGCAGGAUGAAGGCCUUCGGGUUGUAAACUGCUUUUAUAAGUGAGGAUUAUGACAGUAACUUAUGAAUAAGGAUCGGCUAACUACGUG